UAAUACGGAGGGUGCAAGCGUUAAUCGGAAUUACUGGGCGUAAAGCGCACGCAGGCGGUUUGUUAAGUCAGAUGUGAAAUCCCCGGGCUCAACCUGGGAACUGCAUUUGAAACUGGCAAGCUAGAGUCUCGUAGAGGGGGGUAGAAUUCCAGGUGUAGCGGUGAAAUGCGUAGAGAUCUGGAGGAAUACCGGUGGCGAAGGCGGCCCCCUGGACGAAGACUGACGCUCAGGUGCGAAAGCGUGGGGAGCAAACAGGAUUAGAUACCCUGGUAGUCCACGCUGUAAAACGAUGUCGAUUUGGAGGUUGUGCCCUUGAGGCGUGGCUUCCGGAGCUAACGCGUUAAAUCGACCGCCUGGGGAGUACGGCCGCAAGGUUA
rnacentral:rRNA from 1 species